AAUUGUUACAAUGUUCAUGAUACCUGUAGAUGCCUUAUUUCCACUUGCGUAUUCGGGUAGAAUAGAAAAGAAAAGGAACUAAAAUGGGGACAAGUUGAAAUAUAAAAAAGGAAAAGAAAAGAAAAGGAAAGUUUAAAAAUACAAGAAAAUAAAUGGAAAGAAAAGGGGUAAACAAAAAAAGAUUGCAAUGAUCAAAUGUUUCAUGUCUUUCUCUCAUGUAUUGUAGCCCAGUCUGGAAAAGGAAAAGAACAUACCAUCUUCGCCCAGUCUGGAAAAGGAAAAGAACAUACCAUCUUCGGUAAGUAUAGAGAUCCUCAAUUAGUGUGUUGAAAUUGCUUAGUAUUAAAAAAUGCAUGUCCUCUCUUGAAUAUGUGAACAAUUUCUAUGUCAAAUAUGCAGUGUACAUGUAAUGUUCUCAAACACUUAUGGAAACAAGUUCAUUGUUGCAUUGCAGUGUAAUCUAACAGAUUUAUGCAAACAAGUGUUACUAUCAAAUUAUUACAAUGUUUAUGAUACCUGUAGAUGCCUUAUUUGCACUUGCGUAUUCGGGCAGAAUAGAAAAGAAAAGGAACUAAAAUGGGGACAAGUUGAAAUAUAAAAAGGGAAAAGACCUCCAGAAAAUGCUUAAAAUUGACGUUUCUUUUUAUUACUGAAUGUCUGCACAAUCGACCACAAGUGUGGACCAAAUCUUUCAAUAUCACAUUAACAAAUGCAGAAACAUGCUGCUAAUUUAAGGAUUUUUGACAAUCUUAGUGAUUAUAUUCAUUUUGAAAAUUCUGUGUGUAAUGAUCGAUAAAUGAUCACAAUGAUCAGACUUUGUGUAGAUUAUCAUUUAAGAAAAAUGAAGAGGUGAUUUCUGAGAUUUUGUACAUGUAAGAGAAAAGUUAUUUAUGCAUUAUGAAUGACUAACUGCAUGUAUGUCAAGUUCCUGUUGUCAGUGUUGAGUUUUAUUAAAAACAAAUCUUUGAAAAUGA